AGUCAUAUGCUUGUCUCAAAGAUUAAGCCAUGCAUGUCUAAGUACAAGCCUCACUAAGGUGAAACCGCGAAUGGCUCAUUAAAUCACACCUAAUCUACUGGAUAGUUAACAGUUACUUGGAUAACUGCGGUAAUUCUGGAGCUAAUACAUGCACAAAGCCCCGAACUUACGUGAGGGGCGCUUUUAUUAGAUCAAAACCAAACGGCUUCGGCUGUUCUCUUGGUGACUCUGAAUAACUUUGGGCUGAUCGCAUAGCCUAGCGCUGGCGACAUAUCCUUCGAAGGUGUGCCCUAUCAACUGUCGACUGUGGCAUAGACGCCCACAGUGGUUUUGACGGGUAACGGGGAAUCAGGGUUCGAUUCCGGAGAGGGAGCCUUAAAAACAGCUACCACAUCUAAGGAAGGCAGCAGGCACGCAAAUUACCCAAUGACCGAAGGUCGAGGUAGUGACGAAAAAUAACGAUACAGGACUCAUCUGAGGCCCUGUAAUCGGAAUGAGUACACUUUAAAACCGUCCCCGAGGAUCUAUUGGAGGGCAAGUCUGGUGCCAGCAGCCGCGGUAAUUCCAGCUCCAAUAGCGUAUAUUAAAGUUGUUGUGGUUAAAAAGCUCGUAGUUGGAUCUCGGCGGUCUGAGGGCGGUUCACUUGCUAGUGCUACUGCCCUAUAGACCGUAGUUUUGCCAGAGGUCUCAGGGUGCUCUUAACCGAGUGUCUUGUGAUGCUGGCAGGUUUACUUUGAAAAAAUUAGAGUGCUCAAAGCAGGCUUUUACGCCUGAAUAUUCGUGCAUGGAAUAAUAGAAUAGGAAGUCGUUUCUAUUUUGUUGGUUUUCGGAAAUCGACUUAAUGAUUAAUAGGGACAGUCGGGGGCAUUUGUAUUCAAACGACAGAGGUGAAAUUCUUGGACCGUUUGAAGACAAACUACUGCGAAAGCAUUUGCCAAGAAUGUUUUCAUUAAUCAAGAACGAAAGUUAGAGGUUCGAAGGCGAUUAGAUACCGCCCUAGUUCUAACCAUAAACGAUGCCAGCUAGCGAUCUGCCGACGUUUUUU
rnacentral:rRNA from 1 species